UCAUUGGGAAAAUUUAUGAUAUGUCACAAAGUGACUUCUUUAUUCAUGGUUUAAUCCUUUGUAUCAGCAUUUAUGGCGAGGGAUUAUUAUGAUAUCCUUGGAGUAAGCAAAAAUGCUAGUGAAAGUGAAAUCAAGAAAGCUUAUUAUGGGCUUGCAAAGCAGCUUCAUCCAGAUAUGAAUAAAGAUGAUCCCGAAGCUGAAAAGAAGUUUCAAGAAGUCUCAAAGGCAUAUGAGGUGUGUAGGGUUCAGAUCAAGUUAAUUUUGUUUGAUUAUUAGGAUAAUUGGGAUUUCAUGGAAAAAGAGAUCUUUCUGAAAAAGAAGAAUUAAUCAUAUUUUUCUUAUUAUCCAUUACUUUCAUAAAAGUCCAAAUUAAAUAUAAACCGUAGAAACAUUUAAUCACAGUUUACAAACUGAAGUUUAAGUCACAGCUAACAAAAAUUUCAACUAAAUAGAAAUAAGAUCGGAAAGUAAUCACUAGUUUACUACAAAUGUUGCAACAGUUACAAUCAUUAAAUUUGUGAUAACGUGAUAUGUUCUUGUUCUUGGGAUACAAUUGUGGCCUUGUGGAUUGAUUCAGGUUGAACUUGAGGCAAGCUCAUUAGAAGAUGAAUUGAUCUCUUGAGUAUAGGACUCUAAACAAUAUCUUAUGAAUAUUUUCUAAUUCUUUUAUUGCUGUAAUUAGUAAACUUGUUUAUAGGCAAGCCCUGUAACUGGCUUCCUAACCUCUAGACCAGAGCCAAUUCCUAACUAACCCCCUGAUAGGUGCCUAUUCCAAUAUCAUAGUUAAGUGUGUCGAGAAACUUUAACUGAAAAUUACUACCAAACUCAGUCGGAACUAGUGCAGCAUCCAAUUCCUUCUUGCUGCCUCGGGUUUUGCGGGCAUAAGUCAGUCCCACAAUAUGUCUGGCUUUGUAACCAACUUCUGGUGGGUAUAAUUACUUCCUCUUUUUGAAUGGUGGUUGUCCUCAAGCAUUGACGUAGGCUAUUGAACAUGCAUGUGGCUGGUUAGAUCCUCCCAUGAGGCAUCCUGCUGCUUAUAACCCUUCCCACCAAGCCAGUAGUUCCAUUCACCCAGCUCCAGUGUGAUUAUCCAACACUGCUUGCUGUAUUAGGGGAAAUUGUCCCUUACGGGAGGAUGGCAAAGUUGGUUGAACAGACUCAUUGCAGUGGAGGCAUGUACAUGAAGAAGGAGUUAAAACCAGAUUCUGCCGGCAAAUCCAACUUGUAAGCAAUUGCAUGAACUUUCUCCAGGAUAGUGAAAGGCAACAAAAUAAGGGCCUAGUUUCUGGAGGACCUCUUUAAAAGGUAAAACUGCUGCUCAUAAGGCUGGAGACUAAGGACUUGACAAAAGACAACUUUCUCCAGGAUUGUGAAAGGUCCAAGUAAACUGGGGGCUCUAUUUUGGGAAAGGGCCUAGUCACCAAAAA